GUAGGCAAAGCAAUGACCAAUCUUUCACAAAACAAUGUUAGGUAGAAAUACUAUCCACUAUAACUUUGAACUUAAUCAAUUUGAUCAAAGGAUACAGGACUGCAAAGACAUUUUCAUAAAACUGUAUUGCCCAACAACAACCAAAAAAAUAACUUCCAGAAACGCAUGAAACGCGUCUUUUAACGCCAAUAAUCAAGGGAGAAUUUUUUUCCUUCGACGUGGGGUUUCUCUCUUGACAAACAUCUUCUCAAACUCGUCAAGGGGUCGACUGGAACCAUCAGGUUGACUAACAAACUUCCAGCCACCACCAUUCCCACGCUUGCCACGAGAUCCUAGCAUCUCAACAGUGAAAUUCCAGCCAUUUGAAGGGCGCCUGCGGCUAUACUUGUGGCAUUUCACUUUCUUCGCCAUCUUCAUCUUGUUAAAGUUCAUCCUUUGGACAAACUCUUGAUACAGCAUCUCAUCUUCCUUCAUUGAUAUUUCAUAGUGCACCUCAUCAGGAUCCCUGGUAGUCCCAUCCCAACCCUCGGGCAUGACCUUGAAGUCGGGUUUAUAAGGAAGAGUUGCAACAUGGAAUUCUCUGUCAUGAGAAUUGAAAAAUUCUGGGCAUGUAUCAAGCAAGAGCUCAACCGAGUCAUCCAAUGGAUGCCCAAGCUUCUUCUCUUCCUCCUCCUCAAGUUCCUUCAGCCAUAGAAUUGCAUGAACCCUCUGCCUCAUGAUUCUGUAAUCUUUUGCUAGGCGCUCAACUGUAUACAACUCUGGAUUCUCCUUAUGCUUCUUGUACAUUUCUGUCUUCUCUGAAUCCUUCAAAUAAGACCCCCUUGCACCUGGCUCCAUUACCUGCUUCAUCAAAACGCUCAUAUCCUUCAUCCUCUCAUUCCAUCCAUCAACAAAAGCUUUCCCUUUUCGAUUCUCAGCAUGAAGCUCCUUAACUAAAUCCAUUUCUUCAUCAGUCCAUCUAGCUGAACCAAACGAGGGUGCAGAUCGUGCAUUGGGUUCCGAACCCAUUUGUCGACCCACAACUUCUCCAUCAAAAUGCUCCUUGGUUAACCCAGUAGACCAUGAAUUUGAACCCUCAUCCCAACCCAAAUCUUCCGUAGAACCAUUACCACCGAAAUUUGCACUCCAAUCAUUUCCAGUAGAAAAUGGCUUCACAAAAUUGAAGUAUUUACCAACUGGUUUUUGCGAGAAUUUUGUUAAGAUUUGUUGAAACGCUCGCAUUUCUGAAAGUUUCAGCAACAGCGAAG
rnacentral:misc_RNA from 1 species